rnacentral:rRNA from 1 species
UGAAUACGAGACGCUACGGCGUCGAAGCAGUCUAUGUCAUACUUCCAAGAAAAGCUUGCACUGUCAUAAACAAAUAAUGCCUGUACCAUAACCGACACAGGUGGGUAGGUAGAGUAUACUAAGGGGCGCGAGAUAACUCUCUCUAAGGAACUCGGCAAAAUGACUCCGUAACUUCGGGAGAAGGAGUGCCUUAUUUAUAAGGUUGCAAUAACAAGAUCCAAGCAACUGUUUACCAAAAACACAGGUCUCCGCUAAGUCGUAAGACGAUGUAUGGGGGCUGACGCCUGCCCAGUGCCAGAAGGUUAAAGAAGUCGGUUAGCAUUAGCGAAGCUGGUAACUGAAGCCCUGGUGAACGGCGGCCGUAACAAUAACGGUCCUAAGGUAGCGAAAUUCCUUGUCGGGUAAGUUCCGACCCGCACGAAAGGCGUAAUGAUUUGGAUACUGUCUCAGAGAGGGACUCGGUGAAAUAGACUUGUCUGUGAAGAUGCGGACUACCUGCACCAGGACAGAAAGACCCUAUGAAGCUUUACUGUAACUUGAAAUUGAAAUUGGACUUUAUUUGCGCAGUAUAGGUGGGAGGUUUGAGAAUAUCCUUGCGGGAAUGUUGGAGCCAUCAGUGAGAUACCACUCUUGUAAUGUUAGAUUUCUAACUUUGUAUCAUUAUCUGGUCAAAGGACAGUUUCAGGCGGGCAGUUUGACUGGGGCGGUCGCCUCCUAAACGGUAACGGAGGCGCACAAAGGUUUCCUCUGAACGGGUAGAAAUCGUAUCUAGAGUGUAAAGGCAUAAGGAAGCUUGACUGUGAGACCUACAAGUCGAGCAGGGACGAAAGUCGGUCUUAGUGAUCUGACGGUGCUGAGUGGAAAGGCCGUCACUCAACGGAUAAAAGUUACUCUAGGAUAACAGGCUGAUCUCCCCCAAGAGUUCACAUCGACGGGGAGGUUUGGCACCUCGAUGUCGGCUCAUCGCAUCCUGGGGCGGUAGUACGUCCCAAGGGUUGGGCUGUUCGCCCAUGAAAGCGGUACGCGAGCUGGGUUCAGAACGUCGUGAGACAGUUCGGUCCAUAUCCGGUGUAGGCGUUAGAAUAUUGAGAGGAGCCUUCUUUAGUACGAGAGGACCGAGAAGGACAUACCUCUGGUGUACCAGUUAUCGUGCCAACGGUAAACGCUGGGUAGCUAUGUAUGGAGAGGAUAACCGCUGAAAGCAUCUAAGUGGGAAGCCCACCUCAAGAUAAGUAUUCAC